rnacentral:misc_RNA from 1 species
GAUGAAGAACGUAGCGAAAUGCGAUAAGUAAUGUGAAUUGCAGAAUUCAGUGAAUCAUCGAAUCUUUGAACGCACAUUGCGCCCCUUGGUAUUCCGAGGGGCAUGCCUGUUCGAGCGUCAUUAUAACCCCUCAAGCUCAGCUUGGUGUUGGGGCCUGCUGCACUGGCAGCCCUUAAAAUCAGUGGCGGCGCCAUCUGGCUCUAAGCGUAGUAAUUCUUCUCGCUAUGGAGUCCUGGUGGAUGCUUGCCAUCAACCCCCAAUUUUUCUAUGGUUGACCUCGGAUCAGGUAGGAAGACCCGCUGAACUUAAGCAUAUCAAUAAGCGGAGGA